rnacentral:rRNA from 1 species
AGAGUUUGAUCAUGGCUCAGGACGAACGCUGGCGGCGUGCUUAACACAUGCAAGUCAAGGACCGUAGCAAUACGGGACUGGCGCACGGGUGCGGAACACGUAGGCAAUCUGCCCGGAAAGGGAGCACAACCAGCCGAAAGGUUGGCUAAAUCUCCGUAAAAUCAUAGAGUGGCAUCACUUAUUGAUCAAGUUUUUUUCCGGAUGAGCCUGCGUCUGAUUAGAUAGUUGGCGGGGUAACGGCCCACCAAGUCUGCGAUCAGUAGCUGGUCUGAGAGGAUGAUCAGCCACAUCGGGACUGAGAUACGGCCCAGACUCCUACGGGAGGCAGCAGUGAGGAAUAUUGCUCAAUGGGGGAAACCCUGAAGCAGCAACGCCGCGUAAAGGAUGAAGGCGCUUUGCGUUGUAAACUUUUGUAGUCGGGGACAAAUGGCGGGUUACUACCCGCUUGAUGGUACCCGAAAAGUAAGGAUCGGCUAACUACGUGCCAGCAGCCGCGGUAAUACGUAGGAUCCGAGCGUUGUCCGGAUUUACUGGGUGUAAAGGGUGCGCAGGCGGACUGGUAAGUCAGUGGUGAAAUCUCGUCGCUUAACGACGAAACUGCCUUUGAUACUAUCAGUCUUGAAUCCGGUAGAGAUCUGUGGAAUUCCGAGUGUAGCAGUGAAAUGUGUAGAUAUUCGGAAGAACACCAGUGGCGAAGGCAGCAGAUUGGGCCGGUAUUGACGCUCAGGCACGAAAGCAUGGGGAUCAAACAGGAUUAGAUACCCUAGUAGUCC